GCCAGGCAUGGUGGCACAUGCCUGUAAUCCCAGCUACUCGGGAGGCUGAGGCGGGAGAAUCACUUGAACCCAGGAGGUGGAGGCUGCAGUGAGCCUAGAUCGUGCCACUGCACUCCGGCCUGGGCAACAGAGUGAGACCCUGUCUCAA
ensembl:misc_RNA Metazoa_SRP Metazoan signal recognition particle RNA